UACGUAGGGGGCAAGCGUUAUCCGGAUUUACUGGGUGUAAAGGGUGCGUAGGUGGUAUGGCAAGUCAGAAGUGAAAACCCGGGGCUCAACCCCGCGGACUGCUUUUGAAACUGUCAGACUGGAGUACCGGAGAGGUAAGCGGAAUUCCUAGUGUAGCGGUGAAAUGCGUAGAUAUUAGGAGGAACACCAGUGGCGAAGGCGGCUUACUGGACGGAAACUGACACUGAGGCACGAAAGCGUGGGGAGCAAA
rnacentral:rRNA from 1 species